GACGGCUCUUUCAAGUUUUUUUCGCGGAGGAGCUGGCACGCCGCGUAAUAGACGCUAGGCGGCCACCCCAACCGCGUGAGAUUCGCGCUCGUCGUGCACCUACCACCCCCGUUCUGCGGUUGAGGCGAUCAUUGAUCCCUGUUACGAUGAGGAGUUAUUCUCCGCUGCUCACCACUGGCGUCUUGCUGAGGCCAACUAUGGCCCUUGCCGGCGCUCUUUGCACCUCGCGUGUAUUGUACAACAUACCUGGCAAGGUGAAGGUCUGUGCCAGGACACGGGAUGGCACUCCGUGCGACUUCGAGGCGCCAGUCGGCAUGUCUCUGAUGCAUGCGAUUCGCGACGUGGCGAGGCUGGAGAUGGAUGGGGCCUGCGAUGGCUGCGCGCAGUGCUCGACAUGUCACGUGUAUCUCUCCGAGGCAUGCUUCAAGAAGCUUGGGAAGCCGUCCGAGCGGGAGCAAGACGUCCUCGAUAAAGCCCUCGACCUCCGGGACACCUCCCGGCUCGCGUGCCAAAUCACCCUCACCCCGGCGAUGAACGGCUUGGAGGUGGUGCUUCCAAAGAAUGUUACGAACCUACUUCUGUGAUGGGUGAGCGGCAGCAUUGGGUGGGGUGGGGCGGGGUCUAUCGUGAGGGCUUGCCUAGCUGCUAAGGAUACAUCCAGUGCUCUCACGCAUAUCCUUCUCCUCGCCUCUACCCUCUCUCUAUCCUUGCGUUGCCGGAGAGCUUUCCUUUAUUAUCGCCCACACUGUCGCGGUAUCACUUGCGGCGCUUCAACGCGGAGUGCAGCGCCGAGCGACGCACACCCGAACAGCAGUGCAUCUCGAUUUAUGAUAAGCAAGCAC
rnacentral:misc_RNA from 1 species